rnacentral:rRNA from 1 species
CAGCCGCCACGGGAAUACGUAGGGUGCAAGCGUUAAUCGGAAUUACUGGGCGUAAAGCGUGCGCAGGCGGUUAUGCAAGACAGAUGUGAAAUCCCCGGGCUCAACCUGGGAACUGCAUUUGUGACUGCAUGACUAGAGUACGGCAGAGGGGGAUGGAAUUCCGCGUGUAGCAGUGAAAUGCGUAGAUAUGCGGAGGAACACCGAUGGCGAAGGCAAUCCCCUGGGCCUGUACUGACGCUCAUGCACGAAAGCGUGGGGAGCAAACAGGAUUAGAUACCCCGGUAGUCCCUGUCUCUUAUAC